rnacentral:lncRNA from 10 species
CUUGCUCGCUGCUGCUGCCACGUAAGAAGUGUGUUGCUUCCCCUUCGUCUUCCACCAUGAAUAACAGAAUGGCAAUUUUCGUGUGGUGUUAAUUUCCGUGGAAGAAGAAAAGGCUCGACUCUCUGUCCUAUUUUUCAUGAAUACUGGAAGUAGGGAAUAAACCUGGAGUCUCACGGGUGAAAAGAGACAUUUCCAUAUCACCAGACCACAAACGUGGGUGUUGAUUCUAAGGAUACCCCCAAUAAACAUCUUUCGUGCUAAAGCCCAUUCCAGAAUUUACUUCCCAGCUAUCUUUGAUGUUCAUAUUGUCAGAGGUGGUGGCCGCUGAAACAGGCAAAGACAUGGAGCAUAUCUUGGGUCCAGGACCUUGGGAGUCCAGAGGAAGGUCUUUUUACCAUCAGCAUUCUCUACUGUGUUCAAUGACUGUCAGCCAAAGAUGGCCAGCUUUCCUUCAGAAAGAAAUGCAUUCAAAGAACCUACAUUCACAACAUAAAGAAAUAAAGCACACACAAGACCGCCAAGCAUUAAGAUUCUCCUGUGGAGCCAGGCUACAAUCCUUUAAAUGAAGACAGACAGCUAGGUGGCUGCAGCCCAGCGCUACACCUCACCCCUCCCUCAGUGUCAUGCAGAAAAAAUGUAUUCAGAACUCAGAAGUGAAGUUGUGCAAAUCCAUCAUUGACACUAGCUUCAAGGUUACCUCGGGGGAGCAGAAUGUACCCCUGCCAGAGAGCUGGAUAGAUGAUGAUGGGGACAGAAAUUCUGGGGGAGUUGUAAAUGGCAGCCACUGCCUCUAUAGGAAACCCAAAGGGAACACAGCAGAAGAGGAGGUGGUGGAGGAGCCACUGCCCUCUCGAAGGGUUCAAUGUCAUUCUGCAGACACAACCAAAUAACUUUUUCUUCCCUGCUGCUCCUCCAUUUGAAAUGACAGCCCCGAGCUCGCUUUUUCCUUGAUUGUGUAACUCUGAUUACAGACAAGGCCAAGGCAAUCCCAGGGCAUUACUACAAAGCUAAGGGGUCCCCAAAGAACUAAAGAGUCAGCUCCACAAAAAUCCCGAUUCCUAGCAUGAAACUGAAAUAUGAAACCAAACGGGCAUAGAAAAGGUAUGUGCAUUCGAAUCACAUAGCAGUGACUGGAGUCCUGAGCUGUGUCUGAAGACUGUGAGAUCACGUUUGGAGCUGCUGAUUGGUUUUCAGUGAUGGCCCUGUUGCACAGUGCCGUGAGACUUAGCUCCAUGGCCAAAGACGAUGGUAUCCCCUAGGAGCCCUGUGAGGUUGCUGCUGUUCUCUUAAGACACCAGGUAGCCAUCUGAUCCUCCCUGAGCAAACUAACUGGGCAGACAGGUUUAUUAAACCUCUGUUGGUCCGACUUACAUGAAACAAGAGAGUUAUUUUGUUGUUGUUGUUUUGUUUUGUUUUAAAUUAAACCUGUCUUUGGAGCCUCCUGCUCUUAGUUUACAAGUCUUCUUUGCACACUCUAAUAUUUUAAGAAGCAGCAAACAUUAACUGAGGGUCUA